CAAAGAAUAGUCUUUAUUUAGAAACUAGGUAUUUAUUGUAUUGUACCACUCAUAUAUUUAAUUAAUCUUUCUAGGGUCUCUAGCUAUAUGUGCAUUAAGAGCUUCAUAAAUUGGUAAAAUAAUGUCACUUAAAUAAUGAAAUUUAAUCUAAAGUUGAAUUUAGAUCAAGGAACCGAUGCCAUAUUAAUUUUUUACAUGCUCAAUUUGUUUGUUUUAGAUUAAAUGUGCUAAAAUAAGAGUAUAAAAUUUAAUAAUCGUCUAAGUAAUGUAAUAUAGAAAUAUAGUCCAUAUAAUUAUGUAUCUCAUACAACAAUGGUUUAUAUAUUCGCACAAAAAUAACGGAAAGUAUUGUUGCAGUUUUUGAGGCAAGUCAUGACAAUCGAGAGCAGAUUACCCCUCGUGCGUCGGUUUCGGCGUUUAUUGUGAAAUUUUGACUGCGGGUUGAGGUCUCGCCUCUCACCGAGAUCAUGAUGAAAAGUGAAACCGCGGUGCCGGCGAGUGUCACGUCGCACCAGCCGCUUGAUGCUGCGUGGUGAGGCCUGGGGCGCGGGCGGCGGGAUCCGGCUGUAGAAUGUAGGCAACUGUGACAAGGACACGCCUGUACUCUGCACUAACACUUCCAUCCAGUUUAUAACGUGCACGGCGCGCAUUUCGCAACGAUUGCUCGCGCUCGCGCCAAGCCCCACUUCACCGAUGCACGCUCGUGAGCGAUUACCUAUCUACAAGUAAGUGGGUGUGAACACGAGAUCAAUAUGGCGACCUUCGCACAGUCCGCGGUUGGGUGGACAUGACGUCAUGACCGGCUCGGUGCAACUAGAGCGAGAUGAAGUGAUGCAUCCCAGCACAGCUGUCCUAUGCAUUUUAUAUAUUGUAUUUAUCAUGUAAUAUUAUAAUAGGGACAAGAUAAACGUUGUGUUUAAUUGAAAAGACCUAGUUUACACGUUUUUUGCCAAUAAGGCAAAAUUUUAUUUAACUUGCUUUUUUAUUCUGACCAUCUGUUUGACUUUUCAAUUGACUUCAAGAAGAUAGAGGUUCUCAAUUUGGUUAUAUUUUUUUUUGUACCUCAUAACUGCAUCAGGUGUAAACCGAUUUGGAAAAUUCUUUUUUUAUCUGAAAGGAUAUAUGUACUUACAUAUUCGUUCGUAGAAUUUUAUAAAAAUCGGUUUAGUAGUGAAGUUUUAAAUGAAAAUAAUUGAUUUUUCCACGAUCGAAGUUGUUUUUUUUUGUCGAAUACAAUCGUUUUUAAGUUAAAAAAAUAUCUUCCAUUUUUUAAUCCCUACGGUAAGUUUGUAGUAAAAAGAUUUUGUGAAAAAACUAUUUGGCUCCUUUGCACUAUUUUUUCCCCCCAAAUAAAACACAGCUAGUGUUUGCAUGAUUUGAAGCGAGCAGUAAAACUAUAGGGUACAGAGGCAUAAUAGUUCUUUUUUAACACAAUACUGUAUUGUAUGAUGUUCAUAGUACUAUUCGUCUAAUCAACGAUUUUCAUUUACCAUCAAGUAGGCCAUCAGUUUGUUUACGUUUUUUAGAUGCUUUAUAAUUAUACGUAUGUAAGUAGAUACGAUGCAAAUUUAAUGUACUGCUUAUGUAAUUGCUCUCUCUCUCUCACACACACUCACUCACUUACUUUGGUAUUAAUUGUAAUAACAAGUGCCAUAAAAUCACACCAAUUACUUGGUUUUCAAGCUAGAAUAUCCUGUGUUUUGAGAACUCAGGCAACGGACAUCUGGGCGUAUAACCUGGGAUAUUUAGACUAGGGCCAAAUUAAAGAAAUUCGUAGCCUAAAUUAGUAUUAAUAUUAGUUGAUCCGCAUAGCACUGUUCUUU